UACGUAGGGAGCAAGCGUUGUCCGGAAUCAUUGGGCGUAAAGCGCGCGUAGGCGGCCCUGUAAGUCCGUUGUGAAAGUCAAAGGCUCAACCUUUGAAAGCCGAUGGAUACUGCAGGGCUAGAGUCCGGAAGAGGCGAGUGGAAUUCCUGGUGUAGCGGUGGAAUGCGCAGAUAUCAGGAGGAACACCAAUAGCGAAGGCAGCUCGCUGGGACGGUACUGACGCUAAGGCGCGAAAGCUGGGGGAGCAAACGGG
rnacentral:rRNA from 1 species